CCUACGGGAGGCAGCAGUGGGGAAUUUUGGACAAUGGGCGCAAGCCUGAUCCAGCAAUGCCGCGUGAGUGAAGAAGGCCUUCGGGUUGUAAAGCUCUUUUGUCAGGGAAGAAACGGUGGGAGCUAAUAUCUUCCACUAAUGACGGUACCUGAAGAAUAAGCACCGGCUAACUACGUGCCAGCAGCCGCGGUAAUACGUAGGGUGCAAGCGUUAAUCGGAAUUACUGGGCGUAAAGCGUGCGCAGGCGGUUUUGUAAGUCUGUCGUGAAAGCCCCGGGCUCAACCUGGGAAUUGCGAUGGAGACUGCAAGGCUUGAAUCUGGCAGAGGGGGGUAGAAUUCCACGUGUAGCAGUGAAAUGCGUAGAGAUGUGGAGGAACACCGAUGGCGAAGGCAGCCCCCUGGGUCAAGAUUGACGCUCAUGCACGAAAGCGUGGGGAGCAAACAGGAUUAGAUACCCUGGUAGUCCACGCCCUAAACGAUGUCUACUAGUUGUCGGGUUUUAAUUAACUUGGUAACGCAGCUAACGCGUGAAGUAGACCGCCUGGGGAGUACGGUCGCAAGNUUAAAACUCAAAGGAAUUGACGGCUGAGAGNGCGAGACGACGACGAGGGAGGAGG
rnacentral:rRNA from 1 species